UACAGAGGGUGCGAGCGUUAAUCGGAAUCACUGGGCGUAAAGGGUGCGUAGGCGGGUCUUUAAGUCAGGGGUGAAAUCCUGGAGCUCAACUCCAGAACUGCCUUUGAUACUGAAGAUCUUGAGUUCGGGAGAGGUGAGUGGAACUGCGAGUGUAGAGGUGAAAUUCGUAGAUAUUCGCAAGAACACCAGUGGCGAAGGCGGCUCACUGGCCCGAUAUUGACGCUGAGGCACGAAAGCGUGGGGAGCAAACAGG
rnacentral:rRNA from 1 species